AUUGAACGCUGGCGGCAGGCCUAACACAUGCAAGUCGAGCGAGCGGCGGACGGGUGAGUAAUGUCUGGGAAACUGCCUGAUGGAGGGGGAUAACUACUGGAAACGGUAGCUAAUACCGCAUACCAUCAGAUGUGCCCAGAUGGGAUUAGCUAGUAGGUGGGGUAAUGGCUAACCUAGGCGACGAUCCCUAGCUGGUCUGAGAGGAUGACCAGCCACACUGGAAUGGAGACACGGUCCAGACUCCUACGGGAGGAAGAAGUGGGGAAUAUUGCACAAGGGGGGCAAGCCUGAUGCAGCCAUGCCGCGGGUGUGAAGAAGGCCUUCGGGUUGUAAAGCACUUUCAGCGGGGAGGCGUUACCCGCAGAAGAAGCACCGGCUAACUCCGUGCCAGCAGCCGCGGUAAUAC
rnacentral:rRNA from 1 species